rnacentral:lncRNA from 1 species
AUCUAGUUUCAAGGGUCUCUAAUUUUCUUAUCUUUUGGCAAUAGCCAUUUCAGUUUCUCUUUCAAUAUACAUACUUACUUAUUUAUAUUUUGUUACCUUUCUUUGAGUGAAGGCUCACUUGUCUGAAUUAUUUUUUCAUCAAGUUCUUAUCUUGGACACCAAAUCCUAAACAAAUCCUAACCAAAUCCUAACCUAAACCAAAUCUUAAUCCUAAUCCUAACAAAAUUCCAACCCUAAUUAAACCUUAAAUCUAUGCCAAAUCCUAACUCUAAUCCUAAACCAAAUCCUAAUCAAUUCUAAGUAAUUCUUAUAUCAGAUUUAAACCUCAAUAAUUAAUGAAUAAAUUUUUUAUUUUAAUUCAAAUUUUAUAUGUUUUUUAAUAAUUAAGUUGAAAACAAGCCCAAAAAAAAUUAAAAAGGAUCAAAAUUACAAAAUAGAGAAUUACCUCAAAAAUGUACUUGGGUAUCAAUUGGCCUCUUUAUCUGAUCUUAAUGCCAAUCUUCUAGAGCCAAUUACUCCUGAUUGAACCAUUAUUUUGCUUCCAAACUUUACAAACUUGUUAAAAAUUAAGUUGACUACUUCUAUAAAAAUAAUUUGAUUCAAACUAAUUGGCAAAUUAACAAAUAUCUUAGAAAACCUCACUAAACUUCAAAACUCUAAAUUUUGAGACUAUAACCUAUAAAAACCUUUAUGCAUUUCAAUCUAAUUAUUUGAUCAAAUCCAAAUUCUCAAUACACAACAAACACAACUACAUUCAAAAAUCCAAAAAUUUUGACUUGUACAUCUAUUGUCAAACUUAUGAAAUUCUCUAAAAAGCAUCACCUAUUUUAUUUCACAAAUCCAAAGUCAUCCAAAA